GCAGUUAUAGCUUUAGUAUUAUUAUUAUCAUAGGCUAAUACAAAUCUAAAGAGUGAUGGAGGCCCAAGGCACAAAAUCAAGUGCAAAACAGAUAAGAAAGUAGAAUGACCAGGCAAAUACUAUAAUAAAUAGAAAGAGGGAAAUCCAUCAUUGCCAUACAAUCGAAGAUACUACAUCUGCCACAUUGAAUGACCUGAAUUACAACAUGGUUUAUAAUCUUUCAGGCAACGGCGGUACAGCACAUAAUAUUACAUAGUCUUUGCCACCAUAUUAAUGAUACUAUCUUUGUUAUGUCCCCAAAUACCCCCAAAAAUUCAAAGUAUCUUUACAAAGUGCAGCUGCUCCCAGAUUCAUGCAUUAAAAGAAAAAGAGGAGUUACAAGCAACAAGAUAAACUUUUUUCUUUUUCCACAUGAGAUGCAGUGAUCGACAGUAGUCAAUACUCAGGUCAGCAUGCUAAAAAGUCAGAGAAAGUGAGCGAGAAUCAUUGUGAAUACUGAAUAGGACGAAAUUCGACAAGGUAAUUAAACAAGUCACAUCAUCCUAAUUCCCUUGACAAUGUUAGAAAGCCACACAAAUAUGACAUGCAUGAUCAAGUGGGAGUAAUUUUGCUAAAGAAGAAAAGUAAAUAAUAGGGAAAUGGGAGAGAUGGGAACUUGGAAAUCCCUUGACAAUGUUAGAAAGCCACAAACAAAUAUGACAUGCGUGAUCAAGUGGGAGUAAUUUUGGGAAAUGGGAGAGAUGGGAACUUGGAAAUGAAAUGGAAGUUUGAUGAGCAAUGUAGUGGAAGUAAUUUUGCUGAGGAAGAAAAGUAAAUAAUAGGGAAAUGCAAAAGAAAAGAAAAAUAAAUGGGUGCAGCAUCAUCUUGCAUCUUAAGUACUCAUUAGGUUUUCCACUUUCAGACCACGCCAGCAUCAUCUUGCCUGUAAGUACUAUGUUUAUACAAAGUAUUAGGUUUUCCACUUUCAGACCACGCCAGCAUCAUCUUGCAUGUAAGUACUAUGUUUAUACAAAGUAUUAGGUUUUCCAUUUUCAGACCACGCCAGCAUCAUCUUGUAUCUUGCAUCUUUAACUUAAGUACUAUGUUUAUAUAUAUCGGAUGGAUUGCAUAUAUGGUUGCUUAUCCAGCAUCAUCUUUCUUUGCAUCCUAAAUACUAUGUUUAACGAAGUAUAUAUCGGAUGGAUUGCAUAUAUGGUUGCUUAUCCAGCAUCAUCUUUGCAUCCUAAAUACUAUGUUUAACGAAGGAUUAGGUAUAUAUCAGAAGGAUUGCAUUGAUUAGGUUCUUUUCCAAAUAAAUACUAUGUUUAACGAAGGAUUAGGUAUAUAUCGGAAGGAUUGCAUUGAUUAGGUUCUUUUCCAAAUAAAUACUACAGAUCGUGUAUAACAAUCUGCAUUGUAAACAUCGAGGUAAAUCAGGUAGCAAUAGCAUAGAACAACAUCGCAUCAACCAACAAACAAAGGAAAUCAGGUAGCAAUAGCAUAUAACAACAUCGCAUCAACCAACAAACAAAUUACAGGAUAUUGCAGAUCAACCCCAACACUAACACGUCUCACUCACGCGGGGCACCUACC
rnacentral:lncRNA from 1 species